GCCUAUCGCGCAAAACCUGUGAACGCGUCUGCCUACGGAGCAGAAGAUUGCAGGUUCGAAUCCUGCCGUGGUCG
rnacentral:tRNA from 1 species